AAAAAUUGAUGGCCAUACCUUUAAGAACCGACGGAUCAGUAACAACCUCCCCCAAAUCAUUCUUUAAAGCAGAAAUACAGAAUUUUUUCCGUUUGAUAGUAGCUGCUAGAUGAUAGAAAUGAGUAUUCCGUUCGCCGUUCGCUAUCCAUUCCUCUUUUGAUUUCUGAAACCAGUACAUCUCCUCUUGGCGUAGAAUCUCUUCCAAUCUGCGUUUCAAUUUAAAUUCAAGCUUUACAAGGCUCCUUGCCCGGCUUUCAGCAAGAUCUCUCUGAACACCACCUAACCUGCGUAAAAGCCUUCUCUUGUUAUCAAAGAUAUUACCGAACUGAGUCCUAUUCCACUCUCCAAGCUGAAUUUUUAAUGUGCUCAGAUUAUGAAUUAGGGAACGAUUUGGAUCCCAAGAGCAUGCAACUACUUGAUCAAACUGAGCAUGUAGUAUCCAAGCUGUUAAAAACCGAAAAGGACGAACUCCAAAAGCUAGAACCCCUUGACAUUUAAUCACAAUUGGAACAUGAUCUGAAUGCAAUUUAGGUGGAUGUUCAACAAUAGCAUCAACAUAAUCCAGUCUCCAAUCAGUAGAUACAAAACAUCGAUCUAACCGAGCAGCUUGAUAGGGGACAUUUUCGCCACUUCUCUGCCAUGUAAAACCACUCCCAACAAACCCCAGAUCAAUAAGAGAGUGCUUGAAAAUCCAGUCUGAAAAAUCCUGAGCUCCUGGAGGAUUAGAAGAAGAAUAUCCACUUUGUUCAGAUGAGUCCACUACAGAAUUAAAAUCACCCGCGACAAUCCAUUUAGAAAUGGAUAGACUAUUUUCUCCAGAAAGAGAUUGCCAAAGCUUCCUCCUUAAAUAAAUAUCAGGGCUUGCAUAAAC
rnacentral:lncRNA from 1 species